GAGACAUGAAAUACCAGUGUUGCCAAACAGAGUUGGUUUGCCUAUAAGCCAACGGUUUAUUUUAGUUGAACUCUCAAAUCAUGCAGAGCUUUCUGUUACAUUAGCACUGGAUGUCACCAAUGCAUAUGUGGUCGGCUGCCGCGCUGGAAAUAGCGCCUAUUUCUUUCAUCCUGACAAUCAAGAAGAUGCAGAAGCAAUCACUCAUCUUUUCACGGAUGUUCAAAAUUCAUUUACAUUCGCCUUUGGUGGUAAUUAUGAUAGACUUGAACAACUUGGAGGUCUGAGAGAAAAUAUUGAGUUGGGAACUGGUCCAUUAGAGGACGCUAUCUCAGCGCUUUAUUAUUAUAGUACUUGUGGCACUCAGAUUCCAACUCUGGCUCGUUCCUUUAUGGUUUGCAUCCAAAUGAUUUCAGAAGCAGCAAGAUUCCAGUACAUUGAGGGAGAAAUGCGCACGAGAAUUAGGUACAACCGAAGAUCUGCACCAGAUCCUAGCGUAAUUACACUUGAGAAUAGUUGGGGGAGACUUUCCACUGCAAUUCAAGAGUCUAACCAAGGAGCCUUUGCUAGUCCAAUUCAACUGCAAAGACGUAACGGUUCCAAAUUCAAUGUGUACGAUGUGAGUAUAUUAAUCCCUAUCAUAGCUCUCAUGGUGUAUAGAUGCGCACCUCCACCGUCGUCACAGUUUUCUUUGCUUAUAAGGCCAGUGGUGCCAAAUUUUAAUGCUGAUGUUUGUAUGGAUCCUGAGCCCAUAGUGCGUAUCGUAGGUCGAAAUGGUCUAUGUGUUGAUGUUACAGGUGAAGAAUUCUUCGAUGGAAACCCAAUACAAUUGUGGCCUUGCAAAUCUAAUACAGAUUGGAAUCAGUUAUGGACUUUGAGAAAAGAUAGCACUAUUCGAUCUAAUGGCAAGUGUUUGACCAUUUCCAAGUCCAGUCCAGGACAGCAGGUGGUGAUAUAUAAUUGCAGUACCGCUACAGUUGGUGCCACUCGUUGGCAAAUAUGGGACAAUCGAACCAUCAUAAAUCCCACAUCUGGUCUAGUUUUGGCAGCCACAUCAGGGAACAGUGGUACCAAACUUACAGUGCAAACCAACAUUUAUGCCGUUAGUCAAGGUUGGCUUCCUACUAAUAAUACACAACCUUUUGUGACAACCAUUGUUGGGCUAUAUGGUAUGUGCUUGCAAGCAAAUAGUGGAAAAGUAUGGUUAGAGGACUGUACCAGUGAAAAGGCUGAACAACAAUGGGCUCUUUAUGCAGAUGGUUCAAUACGUCCUCAGCAAAACCGCGAUAAUUGCCUUACAACUGAUGCUAAUAUAAAAGGAACAGUUGUCAAGAUCCUCUCUUGUGGCCCUGCAUCCUCUGGCCAACGAUGGAUGUUCAAGAAUGAUGGAACCAUUUUAAAUUUGUAUAAUGGAUUGGUGUUAGAUGUGAGGCGAUCGGAUCCGAGCCUUAAACAAAUCAUUGUUCACCCUGUCCAUGGAAACCUAAACCAAAUAUGGU
rnacentral:lncRNA from 1 species